rnacentral:rRNA from 1 species
GAUGAACGCUGGCGGCGUGCCCAAUACAUGCAAGUCGAGCGAACAGAUAAGGAGCUUGCUCCUUUGACGUUAGCGGCGGACGGGUGAGUAACACGUGGGUAACCUACCUAUAAGACUGGAAUAACUCCGGGAAACCGGGGCUAAUGCCGGAUAACAUGUUGAACCGCAUGGUUCUACAGUGAAAGGCGGCUUUGCUGUCACUUAUAGAUGGACCCGCGCCGUAUUAGCUAGUUGGUGAGGUAACGGCUCACCAAGGCAACGAUACGUAGCCGACCUGAGAGGGUGAUCGGCCACACUGGAACUGAGACACGGUCCAGACUCCUACGGGAGGCAGCAGUAGGGAAUCUUCCGCAAUGGGCGAAAGCCUGACGGAGCAACGCCGCGUGAGUGAUGAAGGUCUUCGGAUCGUAAAACUCUGUUAUUAGGGAAGAACAAAUGCGUAAGUAACUGUGCGCGUCUUGACGGUACCUAAUCAGAAAGCCACGGCUAACUACGUG